rnacentral:tRNA from 1 species
GCGGGUAUGGUGUAAUGGUAACAUUCUAGUCUUCCAAACUGGCGUUGAGAGUUCAAAUCUCUUUACCCGCU